rnacentral:tRNA from 1 species
GCCAGUAUGGUGGUUUGAGUGCUGGACUGCAACUCUGGAGACCAGGGUUCGAAUCCCUGGUCA